rnacentral:rRNA from 1 species
GACGAACGCUGGCGGCGUGCCUAAUACAUGCAAGUAGGACGCAGUUGCGAACGGGUGAGUAACGCGUAGGUAACUACCUAUUAGAGGGGGAUAACUAUUGGAAACGAUAGCUAAUACCGCAUACUAGUAGAUGGACCUGCGUUGUAUUAGCUAGUAGGUCGGGUAAUGGCCUACCUAGGCAACGAUACAUAGCCGGCCUGGGAGGGUGGACGGGCAAACUGGGACUGGGACACGGCCCAGACUCCUUCGGGGGGGAGCAAGAGGGAAACUUCGGCAAUGGGGGGAACGCUGACCGAGCAACGCCGCGUGAGUGAAGAAAGUUUUCGGAUCGUAAAGCUCUGUUGUGAAGGAAGCGGUACUUAACCAGAAAGGGACGGCUAACUACGUGCCAGCAGCCGCGGUAAUAC